rnacentral:rRNA from 1 species
AGCGCAGGCGGGAAGACAAGUUGGAAGUGAAAACCAUGGGCUCAACCCAUGAAUUGCUUUCAAAACUGUUUUUCUUGAGUAGUGCAGAGGUAGAUGGAAUUCCCGGUGUAGCGGUGGAAUGCGUAGAUAUCGGGAGGAACACCAGUGGCGAAGGCGGUCUACUGGGCACCAACUGACGCUGAGGCUCGAAAGCAUGGGUAGCAAGCA